GACGAACGCUGGCGGCGUGCCUAAUACAUGCAAGUCGAGCGGACGAAUCGAAAGCUUGCUUUUGAUUCGUUAGCGGCGGACGGGUGAGUAACACGUGGGCAACCUGCCCUGUAGACGGGGAUAACACCGAGAAAUCGGUGCUAAUACCGGAUAACACGAAAUGUCGCAUGACGUUUCGUUGAAAGACGGCGCAAGCUGUCGCUACAGGAUGGGCCCGCGGCGCAUUAGCUAGUUGGUGAGGUAACGGCUCACCAAGGCGACGAUGCGUAGCCGACCUGAGAGGGUGAUCGGCCACACUGGGACUGAGACACGGCCCAGACUCCGACGGGAGGCAGCAGUAGGGAAUCUUCCGCAAUGGACGAAAGUCUGACGGAGCAACGCCGCGUGAGCGAAGAAGGCCUUCGGGUCGUAAAGCUCUGUUGUUAGGGAAGAACAAGUAACGCAGUAACUGGCGUUACCGUGACGGUACCUAACGAGAAAGCCACGGCUAACUACGUG
rnacentral:rRNA from 1 species